rnacentral:lncRNA from 1 species
AAGACUGAUAGAUUAUAUUCAGCUCAAACUUUCAAUCACUCGUGACAUCUGUUGCAGACAUGGCAGAUGGUGGACUUUUCUAAAAAGGCUGGUAGAGAGGAUCCACAGAAGGCUCUGGAACCGAGGCAAAACCUCCUCCAACGUGAAAUGCCCUGGUCAGCCAUGAACAUGAGAGUCAUUCCUUCAUUUCGCCAAGAUUCAUGUAGUCUAACUGUUGAGGAUCUUGCAGUGAAUGGGACAAGGCACAAAAAGUCUUCACCUUCAGGGACCUUAUAUUCGAUGGGGACAGAAUGUGCAGUUAACAGUAAUUAAAAUAUGUAGACCAUAUAUAGAGGACAAUAAUAAGGCAGAGAAGGACAAAAGAGAAUGUCAAGGGAAGUCUUAACUUUAAAUAGAGAAGCCAAGAAAAGCAACGUUGAGGUGGUGAUAUUUAGAUGAAGACCUAAUAAUGAGGCAGUAAGCCACAUGUGUAUCUGGGGUUGAGCAUUCCAGACAAAGGGAGAAGCAAGUGCAAAGGGCUGGAGGCAGAGUGUGUCCAGCUUGUUUAGAGAAGAGCAAAGAGGCCAGUCUAAUAGGAGCAGGUCAGAUUAUGUUGGGUCUGUAGGUCACUGUAAGGGCUUUGGCUUCUGCUUUGAGUAAGAUAGGAAACCAUUGGAAGGCUAUUCGCCAAGGAGAAACAUCUGACUUGGUUUUACGAAGGCAAAAUUUAUCUACCCUAUUGGCAGCAUUUUGAAAGGAACUGGAUAUCCUAGGUGAAGGCGAGGGUGAACAGGACGUGGUAGCUCAGAUUCUGUGUUACUGCCCCUUCCAGUCUCCCUAGGCACCACUUUCUCCUUUUCAUUCAUUCAAAACAUCCUUAUUUAAUUAAUUACUUUCUUUUUAUGGCCAGCCCUGCGGCAUAUGGAAGUUCCCAGGACAGGGAUUGGGAAGUUCCCAAGCCGCAGCUGUGGCAACACAAGAUACUUGACCCACUGUGCAAGGCUGGAGAUUGAACCCAUGCCUCCGAGGCAACCGGAGCCACAGUAGUUGGAGUCUUUUUUUUGUUUGUUUUGUUUUGUUUUGUCUUUUUGCCAUUUUCUUGGGAUGCUCCUGUGGCAUAUAGAGGUUCCCAGGAUAGGGGUCGAAUCAGAGCUGUAGCUGCCGGCCUCUGCCAGAGCCACAGCAAUGUAGGAUCCAAGCUGCGUCUGUGACCUAUGCCACAGCUCACGGCAACGCUGGAUCCUUAACCCACUGAGCGAGGCCAGGGAUGAAUCCGAAACCUCACAGUUCCUAGUCGGAUUCGUUAGCCACUGAGCCACUAUGGGAACUCCAGUAGUUGGAGUCUUAACCCACUGCACAACAGUGGGAACUCCCAACACUAAAAGAGCCUUUUUAGUGCCAGACUCUGAGGAUACAGUGAUGAGAACAGUGCAUGGAGUCUGACUUUUGUAGAACUUGUAGAAAGAUUGGAAGAUGGAUGUGAAAUAUACUUUAAGCAUUAACUUGUCUGGGUGCCCAGAGGCAUCUCUCCAGAGGAAAGGGUACCCAAGCUGAAAUCUGAUGUCUGAGAAGAAGCAGAAGAGGUGAGGGGAUGGAGGGAACAGUUCAGGCUGAAGAAGCUGCAGGUGUGAAAGUGCUGAAGCUGGGGCAAGUACUACAUCUUCUGGACCCUAGACACUUGGUGAGGGACCAUUAUGGCCAGGGUGUAGAAAACAAGGGGACCUAGGGGUGGACACGGUGGCAUGAAAUAAAGCUGAAGAGGUGGAGAGGGGGCAGACCAUGAAGGACUCUGUCGGAAGCCACCAGAUGAUGCCAUGAUAAGCUUUAUAUUUUGAGACGGCCAUUCAUUCUGGCUGCAGAGUGGUGGAUGGUUUGUCAGGUGGAGCCUGGUGAGGACAUUGUUGAUGUCAUCCAGGCAAGAAGGGAUGGAGGCUUGGACCAGCCAUGUGACAGGGAUGUGAAGAGAAGGGAGUGGAUUUGGGCCAUGAUAGGAGGCGAAAUGAUGGAAUUUGGUGAUUGAUUGAAUGUGGGACAUGUCAAGGUUGACUGUCAGGUUUCCGGCUUGGGCAGCUAGAAGACACUAGUGCUAACUUCUGACACUGGGAGUCUGGGGAUGCACGGGCUUGUCGGGGAGAAGCAGGAGCUGACUCUUGGUAGCUGUGAGGCAUCUAUGGAAAUGAAGCAGCUGAGGACAUGCACUGGAGAUGGAUAUUUGGAAAUCCUCAGCACAAAGACGGUAAUUGAACCCUGCCUAUGGCUUGACCCCAAAGAGCGUGAAGUGAAGAGGCCCUGGGGGGGGGUGUUGAGGGGUGCCACAUGAACAACCUGGGCAACACCGUAGGGGCUUGAGAUGCAGAGCCAUCCAAGGAAAGCCAGGAGAGAGUGGUUCUUUGAACUCUAGGGCAGAAAGCAGCGGCUUGGAUUUGCAGCCAUAGCUCCAGAUCCGGGUCCCUAUCUUCUUGAGGUUGUUGAGUUGCUGCUUUAAUGAGAUUGGAUCCUUCUGACUGUCUCUUCUUCAGCUCCAGAAAAAACAUUUGCUGCCCCAUCUUGGAGAUGAGCUUCCUUGUCUGCUUCCUCUUCUCCUGCCUCACCCAAAUCAGACUGACUUUACUCCCAUCUUUCCAGAUGUGGGCAGCUUAAGAGACGGUCUUGGAUUCCUUAGUCACCACAGAGUAAAGUGGGGAAUGGAUCUCUUUCUUUUCCGUUUUUCUUUUUUUCUUUCUCUCUUUCUCUUCCUUCCCUUCCUUCCUUCCUUCUCUUCUUCCCCUUCGCCCCCCUCUUCUUCCAUCCUUCCUUCCUGGCCAUGUGAGAUAUACGGUGACUGAAUGAUGAGUCAGGCACCAGCAGAGAUGACUGGUGUCUGGGGUGUCUUGGAGAGUCCAGGAUCUGUGAUAUUUUCAGAGCAGGAACAUGUAGAUACAAACACUCUUAGAGAUGCUGACUGGAGACAAGGGAGCUAUGUACCAUAGCAUUUUUGGAAGAUGUAAAACCGUGGCAAGCACAAUCAAAUACGAUAUCCUUUCUCAACUUUGGAGCGCUGGAUUCUGGGAUCUCGUUUAUUGGACUCUUCUCAGGUUCUUCAUCCUUUUUUUAAGUCCACACAUAUUUUUAGGCAUGCAUUGUACUUACACAUUGGUAUCCCCACUCUCUGUUUUCAAAGUAAAAAGUCAGAUGGUAUUUUGGUGAAGGGAGAGAGGGAGACAGAGGGAGAGAGAGGAAACGCUAUACUUAUCCUUGCUCCAUGUAGGCAUCUGGUCUGAGACAGUCAUCCCAGGAGGUUUGGGGUGACGGGCUUUGUUCCUGGCAGGGAUUGGAGGACCGGGUCACUGCCUGUGUGUCAUAGCCCACCAGGCAUCACACACACACACACACACACACCGCAGGUUGGGAUGAGUGUUCUGAAUUUCCUCUGAUGCAUGUUAUCCUUUCAAGUGUGUGGAAGUCUGGGAGACAGAAGACCCUGGGUGGAGGACGACAGAAGAAGAAAAUGUGCACGUGUGAGGUGGCUGGAUGUGGGGGAGUGUUUUUUUUUUUUUUUUCUCUCUGUUGAUCUAAGUUCAACUCAAUCAGUUCAGAGCUGCAUUCAGGACUGAAAAAACGACUUGGGAGAUGCCAGUCCUGAUACUGUGUGAGAAGGUGUUUGGGGACUGAAGGGUCGGAUUUGGGUGGAUGUGAUGAACCCCAGACCCUCGACUCGUCUUUGUGCUCUAACUCCAGAUGAUUCGGUUAUUCUCAAGUUGUUUAUAAUGACAAGUAGUUUUAAAAACCCCAAUGGUGGCCACACUUCCACCUUGGGCUGUGUAUAAGAGACUUCUGCAGGGCAUCCUUCUGCAUCCUGUCCGUGAGAAGGCUCACCUUAGCAGGGCUGUUCUGCAAAGGGACUGAGGGACUCUGGGGUCCACACUGUGGUUUUUGCUUUCUGGGGAGCAGCGGCAGUUGGUGGGGUUGGAGGCCCACCCGGGGUGCACACAGAUGCCUAGUCUGGCCUGGGCAGCAUGCAGCCUUGAUGGGACAGCUGGAGAUAAAGGAGGAAGCCUUCCAUCAGGGAAGAGGCAGGAGGACAUUGAAAGCGUGUAACAGAGCGGGACAGGAGGGGGAAGAUUUUUUUACUGUGUUCCAGCCUAAACAAAUGGGAUGACAGUGAGUUUUUCCUAAACUCCUUCAAAAUGCACCUUCCCAGUUGGGGCUAGUUCGUGCUUUGAUUUUCUCAGGCAACAAGCCCCCAGCCCUCCUCCUAAAAUCCUGAUUGGAUUAGCUUCUUUCAUCCACUGAGCAUCUCGUUAAAAUUGCUUAUCCACUGCAAGGAGGGGGUACCCUCAAAUAUUGUUUGGAUAGUGGGAUUCUGUGUGUUUUUCUCUCUUUUCUAAACCUUAUGUAUUGUUGGUAUAUCAUUUUGAAAUAGAAAUUAUUCUAUAAAAAAACCCCUUCCAUUUUCCCAAAGCUCAUUAAGGCUAAAUAGGCUCCAUAUCACCAAAGGAUGAUUUAAAAACAGUGUGGUGAUUAAAUUGCAAAUGAAGCAAAAACACACGGAUUCAUUUUUCCCACCAGAGAUGUGAUUGCAAGUUUAUUUUCUAUUUUGUUGAAAAUAAUAUUUUGUAAAAUUAUUUU